rnacentral:tRNA from 1 species
CCUGGUGGCUCAGACGGUAAAGCGUCUGCCUGCAAUGCAGGAGACCCGGGUUCGAUUCCUGGGUCAGGA